rnacentral:ribozyme from 1 species
AAUACAAACAUAAUGAUGAAGAAAAGAAAGUAAAGAUGGAGAUGUGCAGGGGGCAUACAACACAGCAGAGUCCCACACGCACACAUUUUUUGUUGAGUUUUGUUUUUCAUAUUUUUUAUAUGUUUUUACAUUUUUUAUUUUUUGUAUUUUUUGUGUUUUUUGCAAAAA